CUGAGCAUCUCUGGCUGGCACUGGCAUCACACUGGUAGGAGUGAGAUGGAUUGAGGUUUCCCUCCCCUGGCAACGUUAGUUUAAAGCCAUCUUCACCAGCCUGCAAAGAUUUCUACCUGACACUAAUAAGAAGACAGCAUCCCAACACCACCUUUUUGAGGCAGAAAGGGGCACUCCAGUGACCUUGGAAGGCCUCAUCUGAAAUUACUAAACCAAAGCCUGCCAUCAUCUUACAGACAAGCUCCUUCAGAAUUCCAGAGUCACCAGUUUAUUAGCAACAUCAGGAUCACAUUAUUCCUCUUCUGAGACCCUGCCCUGGGUUUUCUCCAAAACUUACAAGGACUAAGAUUUGCAAUAUUGAGAUGAAAAUCAUGAAGAUAUACCAAGUUUUCUCUCCAUGUAUACCACAGGUAAGAAAA